rnacentral:rRNA from 1 species
GCACUAAUCUCCCCAGGGAAACCUGGCCCUUAAUUCGAUAAUCCACGAACAUCUUACCUUCCCUAGUCUUACUUAACCUUAGCCGGCAAGUAAGGAUCAGCUUGCAUACCGCCGUUGUUCAGCCUAUACCGUAGAGGGGCAAGAAAUAGGCGACGCAGCAUAGGCCCUAUAAGCCCGUGCUACCAAUUCAGGUAAACGUGCAGCCUAUGGGAAGGGGCUGCUGGGUUGCACUGACAGCUUUCCGCGAAUCCUGGCGAUAAUUUACCAGGUGAAGAAGGACUUGGAAGUAAUGGCUUUAAAAAAAGAAGCCGUGAAUACAGCUCUAGUGCGUGU